rnacentral:rRNA from 1 species
ACUCAAAUGAAUAGACGGGGGCCCGCACAAGCGGAGGAGCAUGUGGUUUAAUUCGAUGAUACGCGAGGAACCUUACCCGGGCUUGAAUUGCAGUGGAAUGAUUUGGAAACAGGUCAGUCUUCGGACCACUGUGAAGGUGCUGCAUGGUUGUCGUCAGCUCGUGCCGUGAGGUGUUAGGUUAAGUCCUGCAACGAGCGCAACCCUUACACAUAGUUGCCAGCAUGUUAUGGUGGGGACUCUAUGUGAACUGCCUACGCAAGUAGAGAGGAAGGUGGGGAUGACGUCAAAUCAGCACGGCCCUUAUGUUCGGGGCUACACACGUGCUACAAUGGCAUGUACAGAGGGCAGCCACCACGCGAGUGGGCGCCAAUCCUCAAAGCAUGUCUCAGUUCGGAUCGGAGUCUGUAACUCGACUCCGUGAAGUUGGAUUCGCUAGUAAUCGCACAUCAGCCAUGGUGCGGUGAAUACGUUCCCGGGCCUUGUACACACCGCCCGU